AUCUACAGUUCUGCAGGUCAGAGUAUUAUGACGCGGUGCUCAGAGGAAUAGCAUAAACCAAACCUGGAACAUCGUGCCCAGUGAUGGAUCCCACAUAGUAGAAGACAAACUAAAGAGAUGCCGUUUGCGACGAUACGGACGGACCCGGAAGAUAUUAAGUGAAAUAAGCCUGACACAGGAAAACAAACACUAUAUGACGUCAUCGAUAUUGAGAACCUCAUAAAGUCAAAGCCAUAGAAGCAGAGAGGAGAAAGGACACAGCGAGAAGACCACCAUCUUCAAACCAGGAAGGACGUGGCCCUUGCCAAAUCUGCAGACACCUUGAUCUCCAGAACUGUGAGAAAUAAAGGUCUGUUGUUU